AGAGUUUGAUCCUGGCUCAGGACGAACGCUGGCGGCGCGCCUAACACAUGCACGUCGAGCGGGAACCUCUUCAGGGGUAACCCUGGGGAGGGGAGAGCGGCGAACGGGUGAGUAACACGUGGGCAACCUGCCCCAGACUCUGGGAUAACUCCGGGAAACCGGGGCUAAUACCGGAUACUCCGAUCGGAUCGCAUGGUCUGAUCGGGAAAGCUCCGACGGUCUGGGAUGGGCCCGCGGCCUAUCAGCUUGUUGGUGGGGUAACGGCCUACCAAGGCGACGACGGGUAGCUGGUCUGAGAGGACGGCCAGCCACACUGGGACUGAGACACGGCCCAGACUCCUACGGGAGGCAGCAGUGGGGAAUCUUGCGCAAUGGGCGAAAGCCUGACGCAGCGACGCCGCGUGGGGGAUGAAGGCCUUCGGGUUGUAAACCCCUUUCGGCAGGGACGAAGCGAAAGUGACGGUACCUGCAGAAGAAGCUCCGGCUAACUACGUGCCAGCCGCCGCGGUAAUAC
rnacentral:rRNA from 1 species